GGGCAAUGUAGUAAUCCUUGAUACAUGUAAAUAUAUAGGGAUGGUGGAACGUACCCUGAGUGAUGAACAGACAUAUAGGAUCCUGAAAUUUGACCCUACCAAUGACUAUCUGGGAAAAUAUAAGGAAAUUUUGGACGAAGGCCGCAGUGGAGGGUUGCUACCGGGUGACGAGUAUGAAUUUGUUCUUAAUCGUCAGCCCAAGAUAGCAACCUUCUACUGCCUGCCGAAAAUCCAUAAAAAUUUACAGGACCCUCCAGGGCGACCUAUAGUCUCUGGGAUUGAUAAUCUUACGCAGAAUGGUAGCCUGUACGUGGAUAAAAU